AUGAACGCUGGCGGCGUGCCUAAUACAUGCAAGUCGAGCGAACGGACGAGAAGCUUGCUUCUCUGAUGUUAGCGGCGGACGGGUGAGUACACGUGGAUAACCUACCUAUAAGACUGGGAUAACUUCGGGAAACCGUAGCUAAUACCGGAUAAUAUUUUGAACCGCAUGGUUCAAAAGUGAAAGACGGUCUUGCUGUCACUUAUAGAUGGAUCCGCGCUGCAUUAGCUAGUUGGUAAGGUAACGGCUUACCAAGGCAACGAUGCAUAGCCGACCUGAGAGGGUGAUCGGCCACACUGGAACUGAGACACGGUCCAGACUCCUACGGGAGGCAGCAGUAGGGAAUCUUCCGCAAUGGGCGAAAGCCUGACGGAGCAACGCCGCGUGAGUGAUGAAGGUCUUCGGAUCGUAAAACUCUGUUAUUAGGGAAGAACAUAUGUGUAAGUAACUGUGCACAUCUUGACGGUACCUAAUCAGAAAGCCACGGCUAACUACGUG
rnacentral:rRNA from 1 species